UAUAUAUUUGUUAUAUAUAUAUUCUCUCUUAUGGAAUAUAUGACAAAAUGUCACCCUACAUACUACAUACUACAUACUAAAUCACACUGGCAGACACAACAUUCAAGUUUGAAUAUUAAUAAUGUGUAACAGACUAACUAUUCAUGGCAAAAAAAAAAUGGAUUUAAGAUUUCAGCUUAAUAAUGAGACUUUGUUACAAUGAUUUCUAAGUCUCAGAAAAAUCUAUAAAAUGUAUUUGUAAUAAUAAAAAACAAGUAAUUUUUUAUAUGAUUUGCAUUUGUGAUGUAUCUUUGAAUUACUUAAAUCCAUCAUCAUCUGACAAGAAACAGGACACUAAAUGCAAACACAAAUGCUAAACUAUACUGCAAAAAUCUCUGCUCCAUUGCUCCAAAUGUGCCAUACCAGAGAACUAAAGAUAAAAAUAAAAUCAGCUCCUCCCCCUAUUUCCCCCUCUCCCACACUAAAAGAAUAAGGGAUCUCGUCUGAGCAAUGUGCUCACCGUUAGUUUCCCAGGAGACUGUGUGUGGCCUCUUGGGCAGUCCUCCCACACCUCCGGACUGGGCCCAGCUGCAGAGUUAAUAAAAUCAUCAGUCAGCCAUUCAGCCUCACUCCUCACAUUCUCUCUGGCCAAUUAGUCGCACACCUUAUGUGACUCGACUGCCUUCACAACAUGUUUCACGCUCUCAUCAAUUUUAUACAGACUCAUUACAGACUCAAAAUUGAGGAUGAGGUGCUCCAAGUCACAUUAUUCAAGAGAUUCUCUCUUAAAAAAAAACAAAACAAAAAAAAAACUUUUUGGAAUAUUUUCAGUUGAAUGCUUUUGGGAUCAGUUUGUAUUCUGACAGCUGACCUAAUUAUUGUGUCCAGAUAUGCUGCUCUGGUCUCCCAGGUUCAUUUUAUGGACUAGCACUGCAUGAUUGCAUCAUGAUUGAUUUUUGCCUAGCUCUCACUUCAGAUCACAUCUCAUAUGACCAUGUACUUGAAAUAAAUAAGAACUGCUGUAAAACGUGUGGUGAGGGACAAGCUCAUAAGUCAAGGUUUAUGUCCACUGGUAUUUACAUUCUUUCCAUGAGCAUCCGGCUCUCUGGCUGUGUGUCCUGCUUUGGCGGAUGCAUGACAUCAUAGUGGCACCAUUGCUGAUAAGAUUAAGGAGGGAUUUAAGUUGAGGUAAACAGAAUGAAAAGAAGGGAAAAAAGACCUACUGCAUCUCUUGAAUCACAUGCACAAAUAUAUGGACCAUUUUAGUGCCAUUUUAUUACCAAGGCCUGUUCAAGAUGAUUACUGUAACAAUAACUAUAACAUUUUAAUAAUAAUUCUUUUUCAAUGAAAAUAGAGACACUACAAUUAUAACAGUACAGUAUUGUUGGAGUCAUUUUCAGAAGUUUUUUUUUUUUUUUUUUAGCUUAUGAAUGAUAAAAAACAAUAUUUGGAAGCCAAUAAGUAUCUACCUGAGUUUAAAUAAUUCCAGCAUUAAACUUAAGCAUGUGCUUAUAAUAAACAGGAAAUUAUCGACUGCUGGUGUGGAAGUUAACAUAGGCCUAUUUAUUAUUAUAAUGACCUUUAUCGUUAUUCGACUUGAUAAAAAAAACACACACACACGCACAAAAAAAGAGGCUUUAUCCUUAAAGAAUCUUAAUUUCUGUGAUUAAAAAAAAGAAAGGAAUGGUGUUUCAUUCACAAGCUCAUAUUUAGGCAAACCCUUGAAUGUUUUAGGCUCAGUCCUGCAGAACAGCACUGGAGACCUCUUGUGGAAUAUGUUUGCCAUCACACCUAUGAAACUCUCGCGGAAUCCCUUGGAUUUCGUUCUUGACAAAUGCAGAAGUGAUGCAAUUACAUUUAAAUUGUUUUCUGGAGGCAACAAUUCAGUCAACGUGAUUGAGAAACCAAAACAAACAUUCCAUUAUGUUUCCUACAUUGCUUCUAACGGCAGAGGAGAGAAGUUGUAAAACUGCAAACCAAAUUCAAUGUACUGCAUCCAUUACCAUAAUUUGCAAUAUUAUAAUAAGUUCAUUUUUUCACUCAAAGUUAACUGUGUCGUUUUUGAAGAAAGUCAAACAAAUGUUUUUAAAUAAAUAAUGUGAGUGGCAACAUUAUUUUGUAAUCAGUCAAAGAAGUGAACUACAGACAUAACGAGGAAAUGGGAAACACGAAAAUAAGAGUCUCAAUUAUACAAGGCUAAAUUGUAUGCAAUUAUGCUGAAUGUUUGCGUUAAUAAUGGUACUGUAAUUUCUGUAUUUAAAUGGAACUGAUCACCACUAAAUGAGUCAAUAAAUCAAUCAAUCCAUCAAAAACGUCAAUAUUUAACUUCCUCUAUAUCAUACAACUUUUCUGGUGAGUGAAGCAACACGUAAAAUACACAUAAAAUAGUAGUUUUUGAAUGGUUUUAAGUGUAAGUGCAGUUGUUAUUCAUGUGCAGAAGUGUUCACAGCAUACUUUUGAAUGACCUUUAUGUCUGUUUUGGUUGAUGUUGAAUCACUGGGCUAGCUGAGAAGAUGACAAGUUCUGUCUCUGCUAGGUUGAGUUGAAGGUGAUGUUCUUUCACUCAGGCUGCGAGACGUCUGCCAGGUAAGGAUAGAUCCAUGCACUGCGGGGUGUCGAGCUGGAACUAGAUGAAUAGCUGCAUGUCAUCUGUGUAGCAGCUGAAGAAAAAUCCAUGUCUGUGGAUCGUAGAGUGUUGAUGUGGACAAUCAGAGGCAUAUUCAGACAGAUACUCUAGCACAGGGGAGCAAACUCAGUUCCCGGGAAGGCCAUAGCCCUGCAGAGUUUGGAUUUAACCCUAUAAUUAAACCAUUGAAUGAUCCAGCUAAUCAAGUCUUUCAGACUUACUGUAUUUGAAAUUUUAGAGUUUAGCUCCUCUAACCCUAAUCAAACACACUUGAACAAGUUAAUCAAGGUCCUUGGGAUUAUUAGAAAGUAACUGGCAGGCAAUUUUGAUCAAGCUGGAGCUAAACUGUGCAGUAAAGUGGACCUUGAGGGCCCAAGUUUGGAACCCCUGUCCUAGAAAGUAUUAUACUGUGAUAUGAACAGCCACAGAUAUACAGGACAGUCACCAAAUCUGAUAAGGCAAAAUCAUGCCUUGUCAUUGUUUUCAUAAUCACCUCUGUAAAAAUCUCACAUGGCAGUACUCACAUUUCUAUUCUUGAUAACCUACAGUACAUUCAUACAAUUUAAAUGAAAUUAAAAGAUUUUAGCAAAUACAAAUGUUAUCUUUCUUUUGAAAGACAAGGCAGUGGUCAAAAUAAUAAGAAGUGGCCUUACACUUUUCUCAAGCAUUCUGACAAGUUAGGACCUGAGCCGGUAUACACUGAAGAUCAGGGGCAGAUGAUGCGAUCCACUCUCACCUGACUUCAUUUCAGGACAGCACACCCACAGUGUGGGUGAAUCAAUCAAAUUCAUCAUGGAUGUACUUUCUCUAGAACUUUCUCUCAAUUCUUUUUCUGGUAGUCCAUGAUCUGUGCCCUGGCUUUUGUGGAAAAUAUGUCCAUCCUGGAGGCUGAGGAGAAAUUUCUGCAAGGACUUUUCAUUUACUUAAGUGAUCGGGAACAUUUUGAAAUGAGGACUGAACAACAGUUAAAAGAGAGUCAUCAAGAGGAAUCAACCUAGUUCAUGAUUUUUUUUAUGAAAUAAAAUGUAGUAAAUGGUGAUAAUAAAUAAUAUUGUUAUACACAAAAAGUUGUCUUUUCUUCUCAGAUAGCUGAAUGGCCCUUGGAAUCUUAGAAAAGGGUGAAUUGUAUUUUUCUUCUGUAAUUGUAUGACAACCAGUAGUGAAUAUUAAAGCAUAAAUAAAUAUGAAAAUUUUAAUUGAUGGUCCAAGUGAUUACAGGAACAACAGGGGCCUCAAACUGUCCAGGCCAUAGAUCUACCUACUGCAGGUCUGCAGCUUCUGUGAGUAUGUACGUUUGAUGAGCAACAAAAAAUUAAUAACAGCAAUUAUCAAUAAAAGCUGGGUAAUUUUGUCUCUAAAGUCCUUUCACUUUUUUCUUCUUUCAUUUGGAGCUAGAGAUAUGUUCACUACUCCUGGAGGGCCAGCUUCCCGCAAAGCUUAAUUCUGACCUUCUCCAAGACACUGGCCUGAAAGUUUUUAAUAGAGGUCCUCUAGACCUUGAUUCAUUUUAGAAGUGUUUAAUUAGAGUUGAAGCUAAACUCUGCAGGACAUUAACCUUCUAGGAACAGGAUUGGUCAACCCUGCUUUACCUGUGUCUUAUAUGCAGUGUGUCACAGCUGAUGGUUCUGUUUUGGUUUGUAAUUUCAGUGCAGGUUAGCAUGUUACUAUGCUGAUGCACACCACUAAAAACAGUCCACCUUUUAAAAAAAUGUGCUUUUCAUUUCCCUGUGCAUGUGCACCAUUCACAAAAAUCAUAAAAAUGUAAUUUGAAUUUCUCAGUGUGAAUUUAUUCCUCACAGCCAUCAUCUGUCCUUCACUGCGCAUGAUAUUUCGUUAGACCUACACUGCUUGCUUUUUGUACAUUAUCUGUCAUUGCUUGUGUGCUACAGGCUCUGUGUUAUUUGUCUUUGUGUUUUUGAGCAGUAGAGAAGUACUAACUAACGUACUAUAGUAUUCUGAAAAAAAAAAAAAAAAUUAGGAUAGAUGAUUGGCAAUUUUCAGUCUCUUGAUUCUCUCUGUUUCUAGAUUUGUGUUCUGUUUUAGUUUUUAGACAUGUUGCAUAAUUAAAACCGAUGUAAGAUCAGAUCUAUAAAUUUGUCACUAAACAUUCUCUAUUCCCUUACUCACUAUAUUGGAUAUAGAUCAUGAAAACCCAUUGCUCAUUUCUUUCUUCAGCUGAACUACUGUCCCCACCAGGUUUACAUUUUACAUUCUUUAUUCACAGCUUAUAAUAACUUAUAAAUAAGCACACCCACUUGCAUAUACAGUUGCAUGGAUAGUAAUCAUUUUAAAGUGAUAGUUAAUGUUUUUGUUUGUUCAGUUAAGAUUGGUAUAUUAAGAUUUGAGCUAGCAACUACAGUUAUUAAUAAUGGACAUAUUUUUCUCCAGAAAGCAUUGAGUGUCAGGCUGUGUGGGGUAUGAAGCAUCGACAUAUGGCAGCUCUCGCUCAGGUCAUGUUGUGUAAACUGUAGCAGCAGGGUAGCACUACAGCUAAGGGCUACAUCAUGUAUCAAAAUUGUUUUCUUGUGAUUUCAAAAUAAUUCUUGUUUUCUUAAGAUCUCGAUGUAACAAAAUAUUUUUUUAUGUGAUCUUGACAAAAAACUUGAAUUAAACUUGAAUUAAACCUGGUAAUGAUUAACCACUCA